AUUUCGCCGGCUGUCGGGAGGGAACCAAGGGCAUCGGCGUUGGAUCAGGCCAGCAUCGAUUGUUUGGAGGAGGUGGUUCUUUCUGGGAAGCAGAGACUGGUAUUUUGGUCCCGGCCACCACAGCUCUGUUGGAUGAUCGUCUCCGGUGAUUGAAGGGUGCAGAGAGGAUGCGAUGUGCUUAUUUUAGAUACUGGAUUGGGAAGUGCAGAGAAUCAAGCAAGGGUCAAGGAGUUGCUUCAUGUGGAGGAAUCAAAACUAGAGGAGGAUGAGGGAAAUACCACUCCAGCAGUGAGAUGGGUUCGAGAUGAUAAAUAUGAUUGCAUCCGAUUAAAGCAUUGCAAGGUUGUGACAAAAAUUGAUUGGCAUCGGAAAGGAGACUAUUUCACUACUGUCAUUCCUAGUGAUAUCCUAAUUAUGAAUUUUAGUUGUACUUAUUUUUAUUCAUUCCUAGUGCCUAUUUUAUAUCUCAGUUUUGUUUCUUUCUUUUUUCUAAUACACACUGACAAAUUGGAAAUAUAUAAAAAUCAUGACAUUAUACCUAGUUACCUAGCCUUUGAGGCUGGAAUCAGGAUGAAACCUAAAGUGCCCUGAAAAGUUUAGGCAUACCAAAUUCUCUCAGUUUAAUGACAGAGGUGUUUUAGAUUGUAAAUUUCAUCCGAGGCAGCCAUGGCUAUUCACAGUUGGAGCAGAUUCUGUCAUUAAACUGUAUUGCCACUAAUGAUAGAUUCUCCAGGAAACUUUGAAGAAUCUCCUCGAGUCAAGAUACGUGAGUACUUGCUGAUCCUACAUGAAUACGGUAGCAAGUUCAUGUUCUUUGCUUGAUAAUUUAUUCUUUUUUGACCAAUUCAUUUCCGCAAACCCCUUACCUGUAAGCACCAACUAGUAUCCUUAUUGUCAAGAAUUAAUUUUAUCAACGACUUAUAAGUUUGGUAUGCAUAUUUCUUAUGAUGUUGAACCUUGACUUUGAGACACAUGAUGGCUUUGUUUUAUUUUUUUUGUUGAAUUUUCUAUCCUGUAAGUUUCAACUCCACUAGUAUCAUGUUUCCAUAGAUGAUGCUGUCUUAGAUGUUGGAGUCGUGACUCAUUCUUUAUACUGAUGUUUCUGUGUGGAAUUUUCCCAGUUGUCCUGUUCAUUGUUUGAUGUUUCUGUGUGUGUUGUAGCUGAAUUUGGUUGUAGCUUCUGCAAGCUUUCUUCACUUUCUUCCCUCCACUAUCUGUUAACAAGUUUGAUCUUUACAAUUCAGUUAUAAGAACAAACAAUAUGACCAAAGGUUGACAGCUUUGCUUCAUCCUUUUUACAUUUCAGUAUGUGGAUGAAAGCAAAUAUGUACUGAUGUACCUAAAUGGAUUUACAAAAAUAUCUUUGAAAUGUUUUGUCAUACAGAUAUGGCAUCUAGUAUAAUUUUUUCCAACUUGAUUGUUGCAUUAUCAUAUAAUGAGAUUAGGUGCACAGCUUGCAGUCAGUUUAUUGUUUUUGCUAAAGAUCAUUGCUAGUAGGCCGACAAAAGACAGGUCUAAAAUGAAGCCUAAGAAAACAUGCUUAAGAUGAUAUUUUAAGAUUUUCUAAACAUUGGAUCGUUGCGGAAGGUUGUGAUUGGCACGGCAAGUGUUCUAAAAUGAAGCCAAAGAAAAUGGGGGAGAAAAUAAGGUUCGGCUUGAGGAAUUUAUGCAAUAAAGCAGUUUUAUAUUUGAUUCCUUCUUUAAUUAUAUUGCGUGUGUUCCUAAGCUGCAACCUAUUAAUAAUUUUAGUUUUAUAAUGUUCUUUGCCACUACCUUUCUAUUAUUCAUUCUUUUGCUUUGCAGGUUGUGACAAAAAUUGAUUGGCAUCGGAAAGGAGACUAUUUCACUACUGUCGUUCCUAGUGAUAUCCUAAUUAUGAAUUUUAGUUGUACUUAUUUUUAGUCAUUCCUAGUGCCUAUUUUAUUCCUAGUCACCUUAUUUCAAUGACAAGAACAAGGGUUCUCAUGGCCAAUAUGUGUCUAUUAAUGGGAUUUUCAAUGUCUUGCUUACCACGCUAAUCCUACUUCUGAUUGGAUUUGCAGCUUCAAGAUAUCAAACUCUACACCUUCUAUAUGGAGCUAGAUUUGCAAAAGCCAUAUCCAACUCGAGGAAGUGACUUAUUGACAUGGGAGAGAACUUAUUGGUAACCAAGGACUUUGUGAAGAUAGCAAAUUUUGGCCUUGCUCGUGAAGUUCAUUCGAAGCCACCAUUCACAGAAUAGGUUUCAACACGCUGUUUACAAAUCUCAAGUACUACAGAGUUG